GCCUGGAUGGCUCAGUGGUUGAGCAUCUGCCUUUGGCUCAGGGCAUAAUCCUGGGGUCCUUGGGAUCGAGUCCCUAAUCAGGCU
rnacentral:tRNA from 1 species